ACCGUUGUCUCUCCUAAUAUGAAAAGGCCUCAAUUCUUGUUGUAUUUAAGUAGCAUUAUCAUUCUUGUGUCCGCCAAAAGAAAUCAUUACAAAAUGAAGAUGUGAGGGUUGAGUUGAACAAGAUUAUGGAUGCGCGGUCGGUGGCGUGUAGAGCAAGCAAGGCUGAUAAAGGCGGCGGAAGAUCCCCUGCAACCUACAAACCGCGGCAGUUGACGGCGGAGGACUUGAAAAACUGGAAGGAGGGAGUAGGAGAUGAGAGAGAAAAGGUUGUGGGAAUAGGAAUUUGAUGCAUUAAAUAUAGGCCAAGCCUCGAGCAAUUACAUCAAUUCACAACAUCAUUGUGGCUAUAAAGGAGUAACUACUUACCUUGAAGAAUGAUGAUUCCUGAUUUAUGAUUCCAAAACAUACCAUUCUAAGCAUUGCAUCUACCAACUCGUUUUCAUUUCAAGCGCUUGGCAUCGCAAACAACUUGAAAGACUCCUGCUCCACCUACUCCUCUUGA
rnacentral:lncRNA from 1 species